rnacentral:misc_RNA from 1 species
GUAGGUGAACCUGCGGAAGGAUCAUUACAGAGUUAGGGUCUUCCCCCCGGGGAAAGCGCCCGAACCUCCCACCCUUUGUCGUCGAACAAAACUUGUUGCUUUGGCGGGACCGCCCCCCCCACGGGGGGCUGCCGGGCUCGCGCCGGGUAUGCGCCCGCCAGAGUCAAACACAACUCUUAUUGAAAAAACAGUCUGAGCAAACAAUUGAUAAAUCAAUUAAAACUUUCAACAACGGAUCUCUUGGUUCUG